UUUUCGUAGGUGAACCUGCGGAAGGAUCAUUACAGAGCUGCGACUCCCUCGGGAGCCAUCUCCACCCCUUGACUACCAAAUAUUGUUGCUUUGGCGGGCCGCGGCCCUGCCGCAGCCGGCCCCGGCGGGCGAGCGCCCGCCAGAGGCUCUUAAAAUAUUGCUUGCGAUGAGUCUGAGCGCUACAAAAAAUGCGAAAAACUUUCAACAACGGAUCUCUUGGUACUG
rnacentral:misc_RNA from 1 species